rnacentral:rRNA from 1 species
AGGACGAACGCUGGCGGCGUGCUUAACACAUGCAAGUCGAGCGGAAAGGCCCUUCGGGGUACUCGAGCGGCGAACGGGUGAGUAACACGUGAGCAACCUGCCCUUAGCUCUGGGAUAGCUCCGGGAAACCGGAAUUAAUACCGGAUAUGACCUAGGCCGACAUCGGCCGUGGUGGAAAGUUUUUCGGCUAGGGAUGGACUCGCGGCCUAUCAGCUAGUUGGUGGGGUAAUGGCCUACCAAGGCGACGACGGGUAGCCGGCCUGAGAGGGCGACCGGCCACACUGGGACUGAGACACGGCCCAGACUCCUACGGGAGGCAGCAGUGGGGAAUAUUGCGCAAUGGGCGAAAGCCUGACGCAGCGACGCCGCGUGAGGGAUGAAGGCCUUCGGGUUGUAAACCUCUUUCAGCUCCGACGAAGCGAAAGUGACGGUAGGGCAGAAGAAGCACCGGCCAACUACGCGCCAGCAGCCGC